GCUGUCAGCACAGAGCCCGAUGUGGGGCUUGAACUCAAAAACCGCGAGAUCAUGACCUGAGCUGAAGCCAGACAGUUAACCAACUGAGCCACCCAGGUGCCCCUCCUCUUAGUUUUAAAUGUUCCUAUCACUAAUUGAUUUUUUACUCAGUUCUCCAACAAAAGAGGAAAAUGGUCAAGCAUAAAAAAAUUUUUCUUACUUUUUUUUUCUUUCCAUUUGUCUCCUUCUUUCUUAUUUUCUUUUUUUUUUCUCUCUCUGCCUUCCUCCCACCCCCUCCCUUUUCUCCUAUAGUGAUUCAUCUUAAGCUUCAGUCUGGAUUGAUUGCUCCUGGAGUUUCCUGUGCAGCAGUCAUUCUAAAUUUUAAGUUCACUAUGAUUCUGGGAAUUUGUUUUUUCUCUCCUUUGUUGGAUUCUUUAUUUCCAAGGUCUAACAUCUUCCUCUUUUUUUUUUUUUUUUUUUUGGUUUAUUUUUUCCAACAGUUUCUGGAAGAGGAGAGACCAUUGGGAGAUAAAUUUGCAUGUCUGAAAGUGUAUUUAUUCUAUUUCACAUUUGAUUAAUAAUUGGACUGGUGUGGACUUCUGGUUGAGGAGGAAGCGGAGAUAAAACAGAGUAGACAAAACAUAUGCCUUAUUGGAAUUCCAGAGAAAUGAAGAGUUAAGAAAUGACUGCAUUUUAGAGGUUGCUCUUUCCACAUUGUAUCAACUUUACUGGUGGCAUUGUACUCCGGUCAGCUCGGAACCACACAAGGCUUUGGUUUUCUUGCUGGUAACUGUGCUGGUGUUUUGUGCUUAGAUGCCACAAGGUGUAACUCUUUUUCAGGAGUUUCUGCUUACUCCGCCAGUGAAGUCUUCCUCCGUACCAUAGCUGGCCUCUUACAGCCAGUGGGCUCAGCAAACCUUUUUAUGCCUGGGCCAGAGAGUGAACUUCUCUUUCCAACUGUCAGAAUAUUUCAAGUGCAGGAUAGUCAGACGAAAUCAUGAAUUUGUUUCACCUCUCGGGAGAAGUAGCUGUUUCGGCUGCCAUUAACAUUCUUGAAACACUUUGGAUUGUAGAUCAGCUUUGUUUAUUUGCAUCAAAUAAAUCACUAGUGUUUUCAUUAAAACAUAUCUUCUAAGUGUUUUCAGUGCACUUCUUAAGUAACAGAUCUGCGGAUGGUAAUUAUGUUCUAAAAAUAAUCCAGAUCUUGUGAACUAUGUCAAGUAGGUGAACUGUUAUUUUUAAUAUAUCAAAGUAUGAACCAACAAAAUCAAUGAUGUGUUAUUUUUGCCCCAUUUAAUUGAUUAGACAGUGUCUUAAACUAUCUUACCAUAGAUAUAUUUAGCGAAAUUUAUUACUUGCAGACUGAUAUAACUCAUGAAUUAUUAAAAGCAUCAGCAUAUGGAACCCACUCUUCCCUCAUUCCAAAUUCUUUUAAUAUGGCUUAUGUUGAGCCAUUUAACUGGCUUCUAUCCAUCCCACCGAUGGAAGCUGCAGCCAGAUGAGGAGUCUUAUAAAUGAUUGGCUUCCUUUCCAAGCAAAAGGAGGAUGAAAUGUCAGCUUUUUCCUCCACUACCUGAAAAGCAAUCAGUGGCAACCUUUCCUGGCCUUCUUGACAGUAGUUUGGCUCUAUAGAAGAGGGUGGGCAUUUAGCCAAAUGUGAAUUUCAGUGCUGUAUCAAGAAAAAAGUAGCUAAAACUCAGAUAAUAGCUGGAAUUUGCAGAGAGGCAUUCAGAUGGGUCUAACCUGUGAGUCUUCAGGAAGCUAACCAUAGCUCAGAAAUUCCUGAAGUGCUCAUUUGAAUCCCUUCUUUCCUAGCGAUGAGCUGAGUGACCAGAGGUUACCUACCAAAUCUGUCUUCCCGGCUGUGUGCGCUCCUCUGUAGGACUGGGUUGAGGGGUACCAACAGCUUCAGAAUAGUGUAGCAUGGUGACUGAUUACCGACGACAAAUCAAGACCACUGAAAAGGACUCCAAGGAAUCAAACCUUGGAGUUCAAGACCAUUUAUUAACUCGAACUUAUGCUUUGAAAUUUGUUAUCUGUAAAAUGGGGAUAUUACUUAUUUCACAGGAUUAUUAUGAAAUCUUAAAUAGUAUAUGUGGAAGCAUUUUGUAAGUGGUGUGGGACUAUAAAAAGUAAAGGGUUGUUAACAUAAGGCUGCUAGUAUAAUGCUUUAUCACAUGGAACAAA